AGAGUUUGAUCAUGGCUCAGGAUGAACGCUGGCGGCGUGCCUAAAACAUGCAAGUCGAACGGGGUCUUCGGACCUAGUGGCGAACGGCGGAGUAAUACAUGAGCAACGUGCCUAUAAGACCGGGACAAACGCAGAAAUGCCAUAAAUACCGGAUGUGGUGAUGAGGGGGCAUCCCUUUAUCAUUAAACAGUUUUUUGCUUAUAGAGCGGCUCAUGACACAUCAGCUAGUUGGUGGGGUAAUGGCCUACCAAGGCGACGACGUGUAGGGGGUCUGAGGGGAUGAUCCCCCCGAGUGGGACUGAGACACGGCCCACACACCUACGGGUGGCAGCAGUUGGGGAUCUUGCACAAUGGGGGAAACCCUGAUGCAGCGACGCCGCGUGGAGGAUGACGGCCUUAGGGUUGUAAACUCCUUUUUCAGGGAAAGACUUAGGACGGUACCCUGAGAAUAAGCUCCGGCUAACUACGUGCCAGCAGCCGCGGUAAGACGUAGGGAGCAAGCGUUAUCCGGAUUUACUGGGCGUAAAGCGCACGUAGGCGGCCUAUUAAGUGAAUGGUGAAAUCUCCAGCGCUCAACGCGGAAAUUGCCACUCAUACUGGUAGGCUAGAGGAAUGCAGAGGUAAUUGGAAUUCCCGGUGUAGCGGUGACAUGCAUAUAUAUCGGGAGGAACACCAACAGCGAAGGCAGAUUACUGGGCAUUUCCUGACGCUGAGGUGCGAAAGCGUGGGUAGCAAACAGAAUUAGAUACUCUGGUAGUCCACGCCCUAAACGAU
rnacentral:rRNA from 1 species